CCUACGGGUGGCAGCAGUGAGGAAUAUUGGUCAAUGGACGAGAGUCUGAACCAGCCAAGUAGCGUGAAGGAUGACUGCCCUAUGGGUUGUAAACUUCUUUUAUAUGGGAAUAAAAUGUUCCACGUGUGGGAUUUUGUAUGUACCAUAUGAAUAAGGAUCGGCUAACUCCGUGCCAGCAGCCGCGGUAAUACGGAGGAUCCGAGCGUUAUCCGGAUUUAUUGGGUUUAAAGGGAGCGUAGGUGGAUUGUUAAGUCAGUUGUGAAAGUUUGCGGCUCAACCGUAAAAUUGCAGUUGAAACUGGCAGUCUUGAGUACAGUAGAGGUGGGCGGAAUUCGUGGUGUAGCGGUGAAAUGCUUAGAUAUCACGAAGAACUCCGAUGGCGAAGGCAGUUCACUGGACUGCAACUGACACUGAAGCUCGAAAGUGUGGGUAUCAAACAGGAUUAGAUACCCCAGUAGUC
rnacentral:rRNA from 1 species